UGUAAAAGAAAUAGUUAUCAACCACAGACUGGAAAAACAAAAUGUUUUAAGUGUGGAAUAAACAAAAUCACCAUAGAAACUGGCGCUAUUGACAAGACACAAUGCAUUGAAGGUUCUUCACGCAAAUUUAUCGGAAAACUUAUAAAGACUGUUAUUCCCUAUGCAAUAGCGGCAAUUUUGUUUCUGUUUUGUAUUCUCUUGUUGUGUUAUCACCUUAGAUGGCGGAUGAAGAAAAACAAAAAAAUGACGAGAUCUGGCAAUGGCCGACCAAUAUACCAACGAGA